GGCUAUUGUUUUUUAAAGUUGGGUGAAAACUGUACAGGUCUAUCAAAACUUGCUUGAAACAAAUCUUUAAGGAUUUAUAUGAAAAGAUAAAUGGGAUGUAAUGACAAUAUGUGUUACUCAUGACAGAAAAGAACAAUGGCUCAUCUCUAGAAACCAACCCAGUCUAAGAAAUACAACCUAGUGACUGGUGAUGUUCCACUUGUCCUGAAAAUCUAUUGGCUGGGAUUUGUAACCCUAUUUAGGUGUUUGAGCAGAG